UUAAAUUGAAGAGUUUGAUCAUGGCUCAGAUUGAACGCUGGCGGCAGGCCUAACACAUGCAAGUCGAACGGUAACAGAAAGCAGCUUGCUGCUUCGCUGACGAGUGGCGGACGGGUGAGUAAUGUCUGGGAAACUGCCUGAUGGAGGGGGAUAACUACUGGAAACGGUAGCUAAUACCGCAUAACGUCGCAAGACCAAAGAGGGGGACCUUCGGGCCUCUUGCCAUCGGAUGUGCCCAGAUGGGAUUAGCUUGUUGGUGGGGUAACGGCUCACCAAGGCGACGAUCCCUAGCUGGUCUGAGAGGAUGACCAGCCACACUGGAACUGAGACACGGUCCAGACUCCUACGGGAGGCAGCAGUGGGGAAUAUUGCACAAUGGGCGCAAGCCUGAUGCAGCCAUGCCGCGUGUAUGAAGAAGGCCUUCGGGUUGUAAAGUACUUUCAGCGGGGAGGAAGGGAGUAAAGUUAAUACCUUUGCUCAUUGACGUUACCCGCAGAAGAAGCACCGGCUAACUCCGUGCCAGCAGCCGCGGUAAUACGGAGGGUGCAAGCGUUAAUCGGAAUUACUGGGCGUAAAGCGCACGCAGGCGGUUUGUUAAGUCAGAUGUGAAAUCCCCGGGCUCAACCUGGGAACUGCAUCUGAUACUGGCAAGCUUGAGUCUCGUAGAGGGGGGUAGAAUUCCAGGUGUAGCGGUGAAAUGCGUAGAGAUCUGGAGGAAUACCGGUGGCGAAGGCGGCCCCCUGGACGAAGACUGACGCUCAGGUGCGAAAGCGUGGGGAGCAAACAGGAUUAGAUACCCUGGUAGUCCACGCCGUAAACGAUGUCGACUUGGAGGUUGUGCCCUUGAGGCGUGGCUUCCGGAGCUAACGCGUUAAGUCGACCGCCUGGGGAGUACGGCCGCAAGGUUAAAACUCAAAUGAAUUGACGGGGGCCCGCACAAGCGGUGGAGCAUGUGGUUUAAUUCGAUGCAACGCGAAGAACCUUACCUGGUCUUGACAUCCACAGAACUUUCCAGAGAUGGAUUGGUGCCUUCGGGAACUGUGAGACAGGUGCUGCAUGGCUGUCGUCAGCUCGUGUUGUGAAAUGUUGGGUUAAGUCCCGCAACGAGCGCAACCCUUAUCCUUUGUUGCCAGCGGUCCGGCCGGGAACUCAAAGGAGACUGCCAGUGAUAAACUGGAGGAAGGUGGGGAUGACGUCAAGUCAUCAUGGCCCUUACGACCAGGGCUACACACGUGCUACAAUGGCGCAUACAAAGAGAAGCGACCUCGCGAGAGCAAGCGGACCUCAUAAAGUGCGUCGUAGUCCGGAUUGGAGUCUGCAACUCGACUCCAUGAAGUCGGAAUCGCUAGUAAUCGUGGAUCAGAAUGCCACGGUGAAUACGUUCCCGGGCCUUGUACACACCGCCCGUCACACCAUGGGAGUGGGUUGCAAAAGAAGUAGGUAGCUUAACCUUCGGGAGGGCGCUUACCACUUUGUGAUUCAUGACUGGGGUGAAGUCGUAACAAGGUAACCGUAGGGGAACCUGCGGUUGGAUCACCUCCUUACCUUAAAGAAGC
rnacentral:rRNA from 1 species